rnacentral:rRNA from 1 species
UAGUCCACGCCCUAAACGAUGAAUGUUAGUCGUCGGGUAGCUAGUCUAUUCGGUGAUGCAGCUAACGCAUUAAACAUUCCGCCUGGGGAGUACGGUCGCAAGAUUAAAACUCAAAGGAAUAGACGGGGACCCGCACAAGUGGUGGAGCAUGUGGUUUAAUUCGAAGAUACGCGAAGAACCUUACCUAGCCUUGACAUAUAUUAGAACUUUCUAGAGAUAGAUUGGUGCCUUCGGGAAUUCAGUGACAGGUGCUGCAUGGCUGUCGUCAGCUCGUGUCGUGAGAUGUUCGGUUAAGUCCGGCAACGAGCGCAACCCACGUCCUUAGUUACCAGCGGUUCGGCCGGGAACUCUAGGGAAACUGCCCGUGAUAAGCGGGAGGAAGGUGUGGAUGACGUCAAGUCCUCAUGGCCCUUACGGGUUGAGCGAAUCCCAUAAAGCCGGUCUCAGUUCGGAUUGGAGUCUGCAACUCGACUCCAUGAAGCUGGAGUUGCUAGUAAUCCCGGAUCAGCAACGCC